GAAAAAAUAGAGAAAUAGCAUGAAAUAUAGAGGGAGGGGCUUAUAGUCUACAUUAGAACAAUUCAAAGAGCUUUAGAGCGUCAUUUCUGAGUUUGCAUUCAGAUGAAAUCCCGGAAUGGACACAAAGUCCAUAAGACUGAUUUUAGCGCUUUUCAUGUCCAACUUUCUCCCAAGUCUGUCUCAAGUGACCAUCACUCAGUCGGAAGAGUUCAUUAAAGUCCAAGUGGGGUCGUCCAUCAGUCUCGAAUGCGAACAAAGUGACACAUCUGGCACCUACAAUAUGUUCUGGUAUCAGCAGAAACAGGGCAAGGGGCUGGAGAUCAUGGCCACAUCGCUAGCUGCCGGAGACGCUACAGAGGAGGACAAGUUCAAGAAAUCAUGGAAAAUGGUGCGACAAAAUGCUACACAUGCCAUAUUAAAACGGAACGCAUCAACAUUUGAAGAUUCAGCCACAUAUUUCUGUGCCAGCAGUAUGCACAGCCACAAAUAG